AGUGGCGAAAGGGUGAGUAACACGUGAGCAACCUGCCCUCGAGUUCGGGAUAGCCCGCGGAAACGUGGAUUAAUACCGAAUGUGGUACCCUGUCUCAUGGCGGGGCUACUGAAGAUUUAUCGCUCGGGGAUGGACUCGCGGCCCAUAAGCUUGUUGGCGGGGUAACGGCCCACCAAGGCUAUGACGGGUAGGUGGUCUGAGAGGAUGGUCACCCACACUGGGACUGAGACACUGCCCAGACUCCUACGGGAGGCUGCAGUCGAGAAUCUUCCGCAAUGGGCGCAAGCCUGACGGAGCAAUGCCGCGUGAGGGAUGAAGGCCUUCGGGUUGUAAACCUCUGUCAGAGGGGACGAAGAAUGUGACGGUACCCUCAGAGGAAGCCACGGCUAACUACGUGCCAGCAGCCGCGGUAAUAC
rnacentral:rRNA from 1 species